rnacentral:rRNA from 1 species
CUGGCGGCGUGCCUAAUACAUGCAAGUCGAACGGUCUUUCUAUGGAAGCUUGCUUCCACUGAGAAGAUAGUGGCGAACGGGUGAGUAACACGUGGGUAACCUGCCCAUAAGAGGGGGAUAACAUCCGGAAACGGGUGCUAAUACCGCAUAGUUUUCUUGAUCGCAUGAUCGAGAAAGGAAAGACGGCCUUUGUGCUGUCGCUUAUGGAUGGACCCGCGGCGUAUUAGUUAGUUGGUGAGGUAACGGCUCACCAAGACGAUGAUACGUAGCCGACCUGAGAGGGUGAUCGGCCACAUUGGGACUGAGACACGGCCCAAACUCCUACGGGAGGCAGCAGUAGGGAAUCUUCCGCAAUGGACGAAAGUCUGACGGAGCAACGCCGCGUGAGUGAAGAAAAGGUUUUCGGAUCGUAAAACUCUGUUGUCAGAGAAGAACAAGUUGGAGAGUAACUGCUCCAGCCUUGACGGUAUCUGACCAGAAAGCCACGGCUAACUACGUGCCAGCAGCCGC